rnacentral:rRNA from 1 species
UGCAUAUCCAAAAGCGGAGGAAAAGAAACCAACAGGGAUUGCCUUAGUAGCGGCGAGUGAAGCGGCAAAAGCUCAAAUUUGAAAUCUGGCUCUUUCAGAGUCCGAGUUGUAAUUUGAAGAAGGUAUCUUUGGGUCUGGCUCUUGUCUAUGUUUCUUGGAACAGAACGUCACAGAGGGUGAGAAUCCCGUGCGAUGAGAUGAUCCAGGCCUAUGUAAAGUUCCUUCGAAGAGUCGAGUUGUUUGGGAAUGCAGCUCUAAGUGGGUGGUAAAUUCCAUCUAAAGCUAAAUAUUGGCGAGAGACCGAUAGCGAACAAGUACAGUGAUGGAAAGAUGAAAAGAACUUUGAAAAGAGAGUGAAAAAGUACGUGAAAUUGUUGAAAGGGAAGGGCUUGAGAUCAGACUUGGUAUUUUGUAUGUUACUUCUUCGGGGGUGGCCUCUACAGUUUAUCGGGCCAGCAUCAGUUUGGGCGGUAGGAGAAUUGCGUUGGAAUGUGGCACGGCUUCGGUUGUGUGUUAUAGCCUUCGUCGAUACUGCCAGCCUAGACUGAGGACUGCGGUUUAUACCUAGGAUGUUGGCAUAAUGAUCUUAAGUCGCCCGUCUUGA